rnacentral:sRNA from 1 species
AAGCACUAGUAUUGGCCCCCACCAGAGAACUGGCUCAACAGAUCCAAAAGGUAAUUCUGGCACUUGGAGACUAUAUGGGAGCCACUUGUCAUGCCUGCAUUGGUGGAACAAAUGUUCGAAAUGAAAUGCAAAAACUGCAGGCUGAAGCACCACAUAUUGUUGUUGGUACACCCGGGAGAGUGUUUGAUAUGUUAAACAGAAGAUACCUUUCUCCAAAAUGGAUCAAAAUGUUUGUUUUGGAUGAAGCAGAUGAAAUGUUGAGCCGUGGUUUUAAGGAUCAAAUCUAUGAGAUUUUCCAAAAACUAAACACAAGUAUCCAGGUAAGCAUUACUUCACCCCCCUUAAAGGUAGAGAUGGUUUAAUGCAGGUACUGUUACAAUACAACUGACGUGUUUUAUUGUCGUUCCCCCUGCUUAAAGCACUUGAUGCAUAACUAUCUCUGUCUAACUCCAUUCCGUAGUAAGACAGAGACGCUUGGCUUCAAACAUUUUCCCUUGGGUAUUACUGUGUAAGUUGUGCUACAACAUAAUUUUCUCUUUUU